rnacentral:RNase_P_RNA from 1 species
CGAGCAUCACAGAGCAGGAUAGCUGAUAACGUCAGCCGAGGGCGACCUUAGGGCAAGUGCAACAGAGAUAUACCGCCUGUUUGUACGCUUACGCGUACAAACGGUAAGGGUGGAAAGGCGAGGUAAGAGCUCACCGGAGCGUGGGAGACCACGCUGCCAUGUAAACCCUAUCCGAUGCAACGCCGAUUGGUGGCGGGGGUAACGCGUCUGCUCGGCGCGCCCGCUUAAAGGCGGCUCGAUCUUACCGGCGACGGUGAGGCUAGAUAGAUGAUCAUACACGACAGAACUCGGCUUAUCGAUGUAGUCACAUU